rnacentral:rRNA from 1 species
GAGUGUCACAUAAUCGAGGGCUGCGACUGUUUACCAAAAACACAGCAACUUGCUAAGACUAAUAGUACUUGUAUAAGUUGUGAACUCUGCCCAAUGCCAUGUCGUGUAAAGGAGGUGAUAUCGUAAAGAUGGUCACUAACUGAUGCCAUGGUGAAUGGCGGUCUUAACUAUAAGGAUCUGAAAGUAGCGAAAUUCCUUGGCCAUUAAAUGUGGUCCUGCAUGAAUGAGGUAACGUGGCCCUGCUGUCUCCACAAGCAUCUCAGUGAAAUUGAAUUAGCCGUGCAGAUGCGGGUUUACCUUCAGUUAGACGGGAGUGCGACAAGAAGUCUAUUAUAGUAAUGAGGUGAAAACCCUCCAGAUAAUCCAUUAUCUGAGCUUAAGUGGCAUGCUAAAUUAGUAAUAAGUUAGUGUGAAGCCCACCUAAAUCCAUCUUAAACAGAUUUCAAUAAUUAGCUAAGAUGGUGAGCUAGAUAUCUAUGAAUAACAUUUGUGAAUCCACGUUUGAAGCGUAGAACUGAACGAUUUUCUAGCGUAAAUCGAAUGUUGAUUGUAGUAAAGUGUUCCCGUACUUUACUUUAUGGAUCUAAUAUCAACCUACGUAUAGUGGGAUUCUAACGAUAUCAUAAAGGUACUAUAAUAGAAACUUGGUAAGCCCAAUAGUAUCUAUUAUUUAUUUAUAUACUAUAUUAUAAAGAAUAAUAGAGGUUUUAUUGUAAAAUAAAAUAACUACUAGUGGGUAAAGGAUGUUCUAAAAAAGCGAAAGGUUUACUGUAAUGGUAGAUAUAGGUCUAUUGACUAAUCUGAAAGGAUGCUGACUUUAGAACAGGCAUUUAAAAAAUAGAAAUUCUAAAAACCAAGAAAAUCGAAGAUUUAUAGCCCCUUGCAAAAUCUUCGAUUUUAAUGGCUUAAUGUUUUUCUUAGAAAAACAAAGGCUAGCCUUUCUGUUUUUCUAAGAAAAACAAGGCCUACAAAAUCUUCGAUUUUGUAGAACAAGCCUAACAAAAUCUCUUUGAGAUUUUAUGCACUUAAAUAAGUGAAUUUUUAUAAAUGUUUGAGCUGUAUGCGGUGAAAGUCGCACGUACAGUU